AUGUGUGGAUGUGUGUGGGGCCUCUCCAUUUGGAUGUGGGAGCGUAUCCCGGUGGGUCGUCCGGAGAAGCUUAGAGCGCGUGCAUGGACCGACUAUGGCGAAGAUGGCGACGAUGCUCGAUACCCGACCACCGCAUACGCUUGGGACGUGGUGGGUACAAUCUCGGGUGAAUCCAAGGCCUUGUACAAGAUCUUCAUCAACGAGCUUGAUGCUCUGAUGCCUCUCCAGGUUAACUGGUGGCUGUAUACUGAUGACCGAGAGUGGGGGUUCGAGCUGAACGUGUUGUGCAUGCAGGACCGGCUUCUCUGGCGGUGCAUCGUGCCCAUGAUUUGUGUCUAUGCCGUCGAGUACCACUUGCCACAGCGCGUUACCGCGCAAUUUGGUGAGGCGCAACGUACACCACCAGCCGGCAUCGUCAAAGAUACCGGUGGCUACGACCUGCACUUGCUGAGCAGGAGGAAGAAUCAGUCUAUCACCGAUUGGGGAGAGCAACAUGCCAAAUACGUGAUUGAAUGGAACCAGUGGAAAACUCGCAAAGAUGUGGAGAGAAGAGUGAUUGACUGGGAGGAGUACUCGGAUCACCUGCUGUGGUUCGACGAUGGCAUCAAGCAUCGUCUGCGCCUAAGGCCACAGUGGACGACGGCAGACGCCGAAAGUCUGUACGACGACGACUCCGAGAAUGAAGCCUACAAUGACAGCAUCAGAGAGCUACAUGGCGGAUUUAGGGAGUACGGACCCAUCAUGAACAGAGUGUCUUCGGAGCUGAACAAAAGCAUUUUUGAUGCCUCUGAUGCGCUUAGUUCUAUCCCCGGGACUCGAGCUAGUGAGAACAAGUUGAGGGGAACAGUGAAGAAGUUCGUCAAAAAAUGUCGCAAGCUUGUGGGCCUGCUUGGGCGUGCCACCUCCUCCGCUGAUGUGAUUGCUCAUGCAGCAUCGAUGUGUAGCCUCACUUCAUCGAGCCAGGCCGCCUCAUCGUCUAUGGCGGUUCAAGAUGAUGAGGAGGGUGAAGACAAUGAUGAUGAAGAGGAAGAUGAAGAAGAAGGCGAGGAAGAGGGAGCAGAAGAACAUGGUGAAGAAGAGGAAGAGGACGAUGAGGAGGAGGAGUACGAUGAUCCCGACGGACCUCCACCAACUCAGACAACCCAGCGUGAGAAGAGAAAUGUGCCGAAGAAGGAUUGGAAGAGUCCAUCCCCGUUUCAGAAAGCGCGUCCUACUCAUCGCAAGAAGGCGGCCGAGAAGCGAUCAAAGAACAACGAGGACCGGACCGCGAAGAGGGGAAGAAAUGACUGA
rnacentral:rRNA from 1 species